AUCACUUUUCAGCCUUUUGGCUAAGAUUAAGUGUAGUAUCUGUCCUUAUCAGUUUAAUA
rnacentral:snRNA from 1 species